AGCGAACGCUGGCGGCAGGCCUAACACAUGCAAGUCGAACGAACUCUUCGGAGUUAGUGGCGGACGGGUGAGUGACACGUGGGAACGUGCCUUUUGGUUCGGAAUAACUCAGGGAAACUUGUGCUAAUACCGAAUGUGCCCUUCGGGGGAAAGAUUUAUCGCCAUUAGAGCGGCCCGCGUCUGAUUAGCUAGUUGGUGAGGUAACGGCUCACCAAGGCGACGAUCAGUAGCUGGUCUGAGAGGAUGACCAGCCACACUGGGACUGAGACACGGCCCAGACUCCUACGGGAGGCAGCAGUGGGGAAUCUUGCGCAAUGGGCGAAAGCCUGACGCAGCCAUGCCGCGUGAAUGAUGAAGGUCUUAGGAUUGUAAAAUUCUUUCACCGGGGACGAUAAUGACGGUACCCAGAGAAGAAGCCCCGGCUAACUUCGUG
rnacentral:rRNA from 1 species